rnacentral:rRNA from 1 species
AGUGAACGCUGGCGGUAGGCCUAACACAUGCAAGUCGAACGGCAGCACAGGAGAGCUUGCUCUCUGGGUGGCGAGUGGCGGACGGGUGAGGAAUACAUCGGAAUCUACUCUGUCGUGGGGGAUAACGUAGGGAAACUUACGCUAAUACUGCAUACGACCUACGGGUGAAAGCGGGGGACCUUCGGGCCUUGCGCGAUUGAAUGAGCCGAUGUCGGAUUAGCUAGUUGGCGGGGUAAAGGCCCACCAAGGCGACGAUCCGUAGCUGGUCUGAGAGGAUGAUCAGCCACACUGGAACUGAGACACGGUCCAGACUCCUACGGGAGGCAGCAGUGGGGAAUAUUGGACAAUGGGCGCAAGCCUGAUCCAGCCAUACCGCGUGGGUGAAGAAGGCCUUCGGGUUGUAAAGCCCUUUUGUUGGGAAAGAAAUCCAGCUGGCUAAUACCCGGUUGGGAUGACGGUACCCAAAGAAUAAGCACCGGCUAACUUCGUGCCAGCAGCCGCAGUAA